GACGAACGCUGGCGGCGCGCUUAACACAUGCAAGUCGAACGGAAAGGCCUGCUUUCCCUUGUGGAUGCGGGUACUCGAGUGGCGAACGGGUGAGUAACACGUGAGUGAUCUGCCCCCAACUUGGGUAUAAGCCUGGGAAACUGGGUCUAAUUCCCGAUAGGACUGCAGGGUGGUGCCUGUGGUGGAAAACGAUUUUCUAGUGGUUGGGGAUGAGCUCGCGGCCUAUCAGCUGGUUGGUGGGGUAAUGGCCUACCAAGGCGGCGACGGGUAGCCGGCCUGAGAGGGUGGACGGCCACAUUGGGACUGAGAUACGGCCCAGACUCCUACGGGAGGCAGCAGUGGGGAAUAUUGCACAAUGGGCGGAAGCCUGAUGCAGCGACGCCGCGUGGGGGAUGACGGCCUUCGGGUUGUAAACUCCUUUCGACCGCGAGGAAGCCACCUGGUUGGAAGGGUGGUGACGGUAGUGGUAGAAGAAGCACCGGCUAACUACGUG
rnacentral:rRNA from 1 species